AAAAUGGCCCUUUUCAGGGCCACAAUUGCUUUUUAUACGGGGCAC
rfam:Melipona quadrifasciata isolate 0111107301 unplaced genomic scaffold scaffold5, whole genome shotgun sequence.